AUCCAUAUUUUUCAUUUGUCAACCUUUCAUGUGUUAUUUCCAUAUUUUUGUUCUUGCAAUUUCCUCAUCCGGGUAAUAUGCUCCGAACCCAUCAGUUCUGGAAAUUAGAAAAUUUUCACCGCUUAGUACAAAAGCAUUUUUUAUGACUGAAUAUAAAGCAUGGUAGUUCUAGCUUCACCAGGCGGUUUGAGGUGUCAAUUUGUGUUUAGGUGUGCGGCUGUGUUAGAUUUGGUCUUUUGCUUUACUAUCAUCAAUGACUUUGUGUCACAUCGGCGGAGUUCGUCAUAUGGUUCCCCAGAUUUCUCUUUUAGUUGGCCAUGCCAUUGUGUCGUCAUGUCUAUUUAGUGUUUAUUAGUCUAGCUCUAUGCUAGAUGGAGAUCGGCGCAGCUGGUUGUGUCUGGUGUAGUCGGAAGUGGGCUGGUAUGCUUGAUUGUGUCCAUGCUGCCUUUUAAGUUUCAUUGCUUUUUUAUUUUUGUCAACAAAAAAUGUGGAGCCGCACCUUAAUUGUCAUGGUGAUGUUGGAUAUACUGUUCUAUUAUUUGACAAGUCAGUGUGUGUAUAUCUGGCAAAGUGACAAUCACAGUAAACUAGGAAUCUUAGACGCAGAGUUUAAAGAAAAUUCAGAAGCACUGGAGGCUCAUGCUUCUACUAUCUUGUUUUAAGCUCCAGUCAGGAGUGGUGUUUCUAAAAUAGAGCUUAUUAAUUUUCACAUAUAUAGCAUGUGUUCGUAAUAGCAUUCCCGUCUCAUUCUUUCUUUUCUAUUUUGUCUAUCUAUAAAUUCUAGAGCUCCUGUUCAAGUUACUAAUCUUUUCAUAUGUUUUUAACCUUUUAUAACUAUGCAAAAAAGGUCCUCAUAAAGAAGAGCCGCAGGUUUCAGAAAUAAGAUGUUUAUAACCACGCAGACAAGGUUCUAAACUUCUGAUAAAGAAGACCCACAAGUUUCAGAAAUAAGGUAAGAAAAAUCGAAGGUAGAACAUGCAGGCACAUUCCUUUGCACAUCAAACAACAUCUGUGAAUACAAUGGUAUGAAUGUCACAAUAGUUAGACAUCUCGUUUCCUAUUACCCCGUGUGUUGCUUCAGUAAAUUAAGUCUAUGUGCUUAGCUUGGUCUACUUAGUUCAAGGUUACUAUUUUUAGACCUCCUAGCAAAUUUGCAGGUGAACGUAUGUAUAUAGAAUAGAAUCCAAUAGCUCAUUCAGUUUCCCUCCAUGAACAAGCUUAUUGUGGCUCCGCGGCACAAAAUAGAGCCAGCUUGCAGACAAGUAUCAAUGCUUCUAGGCAUGAAUACCCACAGGUUUUCCUUGUUAUGUUUCUGAAACAUGUCACCAUAGUUUUUGGUUUCCUUAUUAUGUUUUUGAAACAUGUCUCCAUAUUGUGCUCGGUCUUCGAAUGUAAUUUGUGAUAGUGAAGGAGGAAGUUGUCCAUUUUAAGAAAUAACUUUUAUUGUACCAUGAGAUUCACUAGGCAAUCAACAACUCACUUUUUCUGUACCAUGAGAUUCACUAUGCAAUCAACCGCUCCUUGAAACAUGGCAGCAGCUGCUAUUGUUUUUGUGUUGCUUGGUGAUUUGUACUGAGAAUGAAUUUCCAGUAAAAAUAUCACAUGUUUGUACCGAAUGAUUUGUUGGCAGGUCGCCACAACAGAAAUCUAAAAAAAACCAUCAAGUUGUGACUACAAGGUAGAGGAUUUUAUUCUCUGAUGAAGAUUUGAUAGCUAACAACAUACAUGCAAGCAUCGACCAGUUCAAGUCAUAUUCAGCAUCUCUAAUUUUGAUCUGCUAAGUCUGACAAUGAUUUGUAGAGUGUCCAAUGGAGGUUCUUCCAUUUACCAAUUUGUGAUCCCAGCCUUUUCUUUCCUGAUUAAAAAGAAAAACAUGUUCUAAUUGCCUUUUCUGAACUUAUCUUUAAGAUAACUUGCAUCCAACAGUUAACUGCUCCAAGAUUAGGCAAUCAAAACUGAAUUUAUGACUAUGCGUGCAUGAAAAACUGUUAAUAUCUGCAGUUUGACUAAUCUCUGGAUCGGCUGCAGCCUGGAGAUGAGAUUCUUUGGCUUUGGAGAUGGUUAUACGUUUGAUCAUCCAUCAGUGUGUUAUACUACAUCCAUAUAAGUGCAGGUCUUGCAGUCAACUAUUCAGAUUAUUGACUGAGAACGAUAUUUUUAGGCCUACGGAAUCUGCAAAGGAUGCGCCAAACCAAGAUUAAUUAUGAUUUUUGUAAAUUGCAUGGGUUUACUUAUUUACCUGCUCCUUUGAUGAUUGUGAUUCAUUUGUGGAAAUAUGAGAGCUUUCUUCGAAUGUCCGGAAAAAUGGUUCAAGGCUUGUUUGGCUGAAACUGUAGAUUAGCAAGACUAACGUGUGUUGAGCAUGUCAGCCUAUGUGUGGGUAGGAGUGAAACUGUAGAUUAUGCUAGAGACGAGUUUCUAAAAAAAGUCCUGGAGACGAUGGCGCUGCUGCUGCUGCUCCUCUUGCAAUGGGCAAACUGGGGGCUGCAGUUCUAGGACUUCAAGGAGGAAAGGAAGACAUGGUUACUUCUUAAAGAGGCUUUCAUCUAAAGAGAAGCACAUCGAUGAAGAAAAACGAUGUGGUCAAAGGCAAUCUGUUUCAGAAGCAUUGAGCAGUCGCAUGGCAAGUACAAGGAACAUCAUCAGUACAGCAGGGAGGUUGAAACAAGAAGUUGAGGUGAUCAAUCAAGGUAAUAAAUUGUAGUGUCAUAUUCUUCUGAAUGAAUAGGUACCAUUCCCCACUGUUGAAAAAAUCUAAUAACUGAAUGGUGCUUUGUUUUUUACCAUUCACAUUCCCCGCUGCGAAGAUGAUGAGCAUUUGUGUUUUUUAGAUGCCGCACCUCUGUUUUUGUUGACCUUUGAUUCAUGCAUAUAUGUAAAUUCUAUGAAAAUGUACCAUAGGAAAUGUGAAUUCAUAACUCUAUGGUUGAUGUAAUCUAUUGAUUUCGAUGUGGCUAUGUUAUGAGGAUUCUGAGUAA